rnacentral:rRNA from 1 species
UACGUAGGGUGCGAGCGUUGUCCGGAAUUAUUGGGCGUAAAGGGCUCGUAGGCGGCCAACUAAGUCAUACGUGAAAUCCCUCAGCUUAACUGGGGAACUGCGUGUGAUACUGGAUGGCUUGGAUUUGGGAGAGGGAUGCGGAAUUCCAGGUGUAGCGGUGAAAUGCGUAGAUAUCUGGAGGAACACCGGUGGCGAAGGCGGCAUCCUGGACCAAUAUUGACGCUGAGGAGCGAAAGCCAGGGGAGCAAACGGG